AGGAUUAAAGUGUGUGGAAUUGAAACCUCACCAAUUAGGUGAAAGUUCAGUAGUUAAUCAACUGAGCUACUCUGUUGUCUUCUUUUAAAAAAAAUGGGGGUAGGGUAAGAAGAAUGGGGGAGAGGACUCCAACGCGGGAAAUCAAAAUCUCAUCAACUAGGUGAAAGUUCAUUGAAACUUCACCAAUUAGGUGAAAGUUCAGUAGUUAAUCAACUGAGCUACUCUGUUGUCUUCUUUUAAAAAAAAUGGGGGUAGGGUAAGAAGAAUGGGGGAGAUGACUCCAACGCGGGAAAUCAAAAUCUCAUCAACUAGGUGAAAGUUCAUUGAAACUUCACCAAUUAGGUGAAAGUUCAGUAGUUAAUCAACUGAGCUACUCUGUUGUCUUCUUUUAAAAAAAAU
rnacentral:lncRNA from 1 species